AAGGAGAGCCGCUUGAUUCAUGUCAGCCUGUGCCGUAAGCGAGAAAUACAUGCUCCCUGUGAUAAGGUGCUGAGAUUUGGGGGCUGGUUUGCGCUGACAUUUCCUGCUAUCAGGUUUCAAACGGGGGGGGGAGGAGGGAAGUCCCUAUUCCAGGCUUUGCAGCAUGAGUCAAGAUCUGGCUUGUGAAAGGGAGAAUAGACAGUUGUGUGGAAGGCGCAUAGGCCCUGGGACACAACCUGGCUCUGCCCCCUGUGUGCCUGGGAUGAGCAGACAAUAGCCACACUCAGUCUGUGGAGUUGCUGUGAAGACCGAAUGCCUGCUUAGCUCAGUUGUCUAGGUAGGUGACUGCCUGGUACAAGUUAGCCAUGUGAACCGCCGGUCAUGGCUCUGGAGGGCAGGAUUGGGACACUGACUUUAGGGCAGGAAAGGCAUUGUCUGUGCUUGUGGCAAUUGGAGCCUAGGAAGGUAAGAGAAGACCAGGAGAUAGGGUGUUCUGAGGGUCCCCAGAACUGAUCAUCUGCCCCACUUACCCACCCAUUAUCCAUCCAUCCAUCCAUCCAUCCAUCCAUCCAUCCUUCCACCCACUCAGACUAUCCAACAAACUAAUAAACAAAACAAAACAAAAGCAAUAAAAAUCCCUCUGAAUCUUCCAGUGAGUCUCUAACCAACAGGGAGAGAGCCUGAGGCACUAGGGAUAUUGGAGAACCCUUUUUAAAGUCCUGCUGCCUCUUGAAUAGGAGCUAGGGAAAAAAUAGAAAAGUUGGGACAGGAGCCAAGGCCAGUGAUCUCCCGACAGGGAGGGGGUAGCGACCGGAAGCCAGGGUCAGACUAAGGGCUUCUCCGUGGGGUGAUGCUCCCUGUAGGAGGGACCCGAGGGAGGGGUGUGUGAAUCUCCACCCCAGGCUCCAGGGUCCGGAGGUCUCUGACUUUCCGUCCAUCAGACUUCUGGGCUGGUGAGAGGAGAGCAGCAUGGUGCCUUAGUGCCACCUCAGAGCCACAGAGUGGGCCGGGCCACCAAGUCUCUAUGACAGUGUUUCUGGCACUUUUUUAGGAGUGUUAACACCAACGAACAGGGGGGCAAAGAUUCAGAGUGCACAGGGUGGGAAUUGUCCACACGACACUCGUUUUCCUUCUGGUAACUGAGCCUCCAUCUCUAGCUCCUGGAGGGGCCAGCGACCUAGGCCUGACCAGUCUCAGGAUCUGUCCUUGCAGGCCACUGUGGCUGGCUCAGGGGUGGUCACAUGGGCUCAGAGGGAUUCCAUUUGUGAACUUUUGUUUGAACUCCUGGGGAUAAAAUCUGUCUUUCCACUGGACUCACAAAUGGGAGGAUCUGGACCUGGAGCUUUGUGAAGCUGGAAAGUACAGGGAGAAAUUCUAAGAGUUGGGGUUGAACACAGAAAAACACAGUGUGGCGUGAAAGACAGAGGCCACAUCCUGAGGCCUCUGGGUGCGAGCCCCGGAUCCAACCCUGCUGGAAGGCUGCUGAUACCAGGUCACUGAGGAGCCUCUGAAGAGCAUCUUUAGCUCUCUAAACACCAUCAGACGGGGAGUCUUGCCACGGGAUGUGUGCUCCUUUUCUACCCUUCCUUAGCCACAGUGGACCAUGUACUCAGAACUAGCUUCUGGGCUUGCCCUUCUGGGAUAGAAAAAUGAAUGGGACCUGGGCCUCGUCUUCAGAAUCACAGUGUAUGGGGUGGGGCUGAGAAACAACUAGAGUAUCUUGAAGUAAAAUGUGCAGAGAGAAAUAAAAAACUAAACUUCACGGGAAAUUAGAGGAGAAAGAAAGUCCAGAUCUCCGAAGGAGAGGAGAGUCAGUGAAGGCUGCCGAGAGGUGGUGUCAUCCAUUCAUUCACUGGACAGGUUUUCAUUGAGCAGCUAUUAGGUAUCUAUACUGUGCAGGGCACUGGGGAUGUAGUGGUGACCAAAUCCAGAUAUGAUCCCUGACUCAAGGAGCUGACAGUCGAGUGGACACAGGGACAUCAGACUUCUUGAGAGAACCCAUGGGGCAGGGUAGGAACAGGUGCUAUGAGUACAAAUGGCACGGGAAGGAGGGCAGGUGGGUGCGUGUGGUGGGGGGAAGCUCCCCCAGAAGAGGGAACAGCACCAGCCAGAGUUCUGGGGUGGGAGGAGCCGGGUUCUGGAAAGAACAAGGAGACAGAGGAGAUGUGGGGAAGGAAGGGGCAACUCGAGGUGAAGAUGGAGCCAGGAGGGGGCCCAUCUCAGGGCCCUGAAGGUCAUCAGUGCCCAAGGAGGUUUGGUCUUUGUCUUUGAACUGGAUCUGGAACAACAUGUGAUCAAAUGGCCUCCAGGAAGAGGGGCCGGUGGCUCAAAGGCCAGAGGCAUGAAAGAGUGUGCAUUUUCAGAGAGCGCCCGUGUGGAUGUGUGUGCCGGGCGCCAGGGAGUACCGCGGGCCCUGUCGGUGGAAGAUCUUGUCUCCCAGCCAGGACCAUGAUGCUCUGCUGCUGGAGCGUGCCCUGUCCCCCUUCCUGCCCCUGACUCUGUGGAUGACCCAGUCUUAGGACACACCCCCACAGCUUCUCUGCCCUGGGGAAUAUUCCAGCUAACUACGCUGCAAAACAAGCUACCCCCAAACAGAGUAGCUCAGAACAGCAACCCGGGUUUAUCCUCCCUCUUGGCUGUGGGGCUGGGGAACGUGGGCAGGGCUCAGGGGGCUCUGGCUACCGGCUCAGGGGGAAGCUGGUCCACGCUGGAAGGCCCAGGAAGGCGUCACUCACUCGCUGGCACCUGAUGCUCUCACACUUGGUGUCCCUCUCUCUCUCUCUCCACGGGUCCCUGUCCACUGCCGUCUUGGGCUUCCUCACAGCAGGGUGGACCCAGGGAACCAAGACCGAUGUCAUAGGCCAGCGGGGGGUGGCUUUUGAUAGGUUGCUUCGGUUCUUUGCAUAGGCUCCGUGUGAGUGAAGUGCUGGGCUGUGUUUUUCUAUGUGGAGAAAAAGAGUGAUUAAUUUUACGCCAUCACCAACGCACACAGGACGAACGGUCUGUUUAACUGAGCCGUCAGAACCCACCAGCCUUAACUUCAGCGCUUCUGCACUCAGGUCAGCCGGGCCCAUGGUGCAUGCCCUGUGCCUGGCUUACUUCAGGUGGUCUUUAAAUCAUGCCGAGAACCAUUUUCCUUAUUUAAAAAAUGAGAUAGCCAUACUCCCUUCGUAGGCUUGUUGUGGAGGUUAAUUGAGAGGCCAGCAGGACUGUCCAUAAAGGGCAAUGAUGGAUAAUGUUCUCUUUCCCCUCAGGUGCACCUCCAUCAUCCUGGUGAACAGUAGGCCAUCAUUUGGUCCCUAGUUUCCUGGGAACACUUCCAGAACACUCCAUCCAUCCACCAGCUCCCCAGAACUCUGCCUCCCGGGCCCCCGCAGCCAACACUCUUCUAGGACCCAAGAAAUGAGUCUUGAAAGACAGAGAGAUAGAUGGGUGUUUCCCCUCCAGCCCCAAAGUCAUAUGCUGAAGUCCUGACCCCCAGCCCCUCAGAAGGUGCCUGAUUGGAAAUAGCGUCUUUCAAGAGGUCAUCACAUUCAAACAAGGUCAGCAGGGCUGGACUUACUCCAACCCGACUCAUGGCCUUCUAAGAGAGGAAGUUUGGACAGAGACACGGACAGCAGAAAGACAUGUGACGCAGGGAGAUGGCAGCCACUCACAAGGCCAGGUGGGAGGCGAGGAGCAAAGCUUGCCCGAGCAGGAACUAGUCCUGCCGACACCUCGGCCUCCGGCCUCCAGAACUGUAAGAUAACAAACUUCUGUUGCUUCAGCCUCUUGUGGCACUAACAAACUAACACAGGGUGAUAGCAAGAGGAACGGAGGGCACCCAAGUCCACAGGUCACUGCC
rnacentral:lncRNA from 1 species